AUUGAACGCUGGCGGCAGGCCUAACACAUGCAAGUCGAGCGGAUGACGGGAGCUUGCUCCUUGAUUCAGCGGCGGACGGGUGAGUAAUGCCUAGGAAUCUGCCUGGUAGUGGGGGACAACGUUUCGAAAGGAACGCUAAUACCGCAUACGUCCUACGGGAGAAAGCAGGGGACCUUCGGGCCUUGUGCUAUCAGAUGAGCUUAGGUCGGAUUAGCUAGUUGGUGGGGUAAUGGCUCACCAAGGCGACGAUCCGUAACUGGUCUGAGAGGAUGAUCAGUCACACUGGAACUGAGACACGGUCCAGACUCCUACGGGAGGCAGCAGUGGGGAAUAUUGGACAAUGGGCGAAGGCCUGAUCCAGCCAUGCCGCGUGUGUGAAGAAGGUCUUCGGAUUGUAAAGCACUUUAAGUUGGGAGGAAGGGCAGUAAGUUAAUACCUUGCUGUUUUGACGUUACCGACAGAAUAAGCACCGGCUAACUCUGUGCCAGCAGCCGCCGUAA
rnacentral:rRNA from 1 species